GAUAAUGAUGAUGAUGAUGAUGAUGAUGAUGAUGCCUCGGAGUGUGCGCGAGGAGUAACAUCCGUGUUGUGGUGGCUCUUUCGCACAGGAUGUACAAACA